UACGGAGGAUGCGAGCGUUAUCCGGAAUCAUUGGGUUUAAAGGGUCCGUAGGCGGGCUGAUAAGUCAGAGGUGAAAUCGUUCAGCUCAACUGAGCAACUGCCUUUGAAACUGUCAGUCUUGAAUGAUUGUGAAGUAGUUGGAAUGUGUAGUGUAGCGGUGAAAUGCUUAGAUAUUACACAGAACACCGAUAGCGAAGGCAUAUUACUAACAAUUUAUUGACGCUGAUGGACGAAAGCGUGGGGAGCGAACAGG
rnacentral:rRNA from 1 species